AGCUAGUUGGUGGGGUAAUGGCCUACCAAGGCGACGAUCAGUAGCUGGUCUGAGAGGAUGACCAGCCACACUGGGACUGAGACACGGCCCAGACUCCUACGGGAGGCAGCAGUGGGGAAUAUUGGACAAUGGGCGAAAGCCUGAUCCAGCCAUGCCGCGUGAGUGACGAAGGUCUUCGGAUUGUAAAGCUCUUUUACCAGGGACGAUAAUGACGGUAC
rnacentral:rRNA from 1 species